UGGUCUUGGUGGACUAAAUCUGCUAAUACUACUGCUGCUGCUGCUGCUGCAAAACAAGCUGGUUGGGCUGCUUAAACCAAGGAGCUGGAAGACCUGGAGAGAGCUAUCCUUAGCAUCCCAAUUCAAAGGGAUCUGCUCAACUGGCGCAGAGUUUCUUGGAAGUACACAAUCUGGAGGCUGCCAUCUUCGCUCAUGGGCGCUUAGUUCUGGGAUCGAUGACCGAUCACUUGUCAAUGAGCCCCUGAGCGCUGUGACUGCCAUUACUGAAGAAAAACAGUGACAAGGACAGAGAGAUGGGGAGGGGAUGAAGAAAUGACAGAAUGGAGUGCUGUUUGACGGUGAUUCUCUAUCGGAAGGCUGCAGCCUAGUUAGGCUGGAUAUCUCAGCUGCCAUGUCAUCAAGCACCGUCCAAGUCCAUCUCAAUUGUGAGGACCCUUUGAAGGCUGCCUCAUUUCACAGCUUUCGUUCGGUAUAUUUUGGAGGAUGCAUCAGGUGCAGCUGAUGUUACCCACAAUCUGUGUUACCCACAAUCCUUGGUAAUUACCCACAAUCCUUUGCACAAUUCAGAUUUUUUUUUUUUAAAGAAUAUAUUGCAAAACAAAUCAAAUGGAUGUGUACCCCCUGGUGGCUUCUUCCAUUUCUACAAAGUAGUUGUAGUGGUUCACAAAUUAUUUAUUUUUGAAAUUUUCACGCCGUGAUCACGGAGGCAGACACCUUUAUGAUGUACCCAUGCAGACUUACUAGACCGUAGUGAUGGGAAGUCCAAUUCAUUUCUGUGAACCGGUUCUUUCAAUUCUAACAUCCCGGUGUCAUGGUUUUCAUGCUCAAACAUUAAAAUAAGCCAUUUAUGAAUGCAUAUUGCUGAUUAUGACCUUUUAUUCAAUCAAGUUAUUAUAAUAGGGGUCUUUAUUGUCAUCAGUGUUUCAUUCUGUGAUCUUGCAUGUUGAAUACGACUGACAAAUAUUGUUACAUCUUGAA